AACGAACGCUGGCGGCAUGCCUAACACAUGCAAGUCGAACGAACCCUUCGGGGUUAGUGGCGCACGGGUGCGUAACGCGUGGGAAUCUGCCCUUUGCUUCGGAAUAACAGUUAGAAAUGACUGCUAAUACCGGAUGAUGUCUUCGGACCAAAGAUUUAUCGGCAAGGGAUGAGCCCGCGUAGGAUUAGGUAGUUGGUGGGGUAAAGGCCUACCAAGCCGACGAUCCUUAGCUGGUCUGAGAGGAUGAUCAGCCACACUGGGACUGAGACACGGCCCAGACUCCUACGGGAGGCAGCAGUGGGGAAUAUUGGACAAUGGGGCGCAAGCCUGAUCCAGCAAUGCCGCGUGAGUGAUGAAGGCCUUCGGGUCGUAAAGCUCUUUACCAGGGAUGAUAAUGACAGUACCUGGAGAAUAAGCUCCGGCUAACUCCGUGCCAGCAGCCGCGGUAAU
rnacentral:rRNA from 1 species